rnacentral:rRNA from 1 species
CAAAUUGAGAGUUUGAUCCUGGCUCAGGAUGAACGCUGGCGGCGUGCCUAAUACAUGCAAGUCGAACGCUUUGUGGU